rnacentral:rRNA from 1 species
AUUGAACGCUGGCGGCAUGCUUUACACAUGCAAGUCGGACGGCAGCACAGAGAAGCUUGCUUCUUGGGUGGCGAGUGGCGAACGGGUGAGUAACAUAUCGGAACGUACCGAGUAGUGGGGGAUAACUGAUCGAAAGAUCAGCUAAUACCGCAUACGUCUUGAGAGGGAAAGCAGGGGACCUUCGGGCCUUGCGCUAUUCGAGCGGCCGAUAUCUGAUUAGCUAGUUGGUGGGGUAAAGGCCUACCAAGGCGACGAUCAGUAGCGGGUCUGAGAGGAUGAUCCGCCACACUGGGACUGAGACACGGCCCAGACUCCUACGGGAGGCAGCAGUGGGGAAUUUUGGACAAUGGGCGCAAGCCUGAUCCAGCCAUGCCGCGUGUCUGAAGAAGGCCUUCGGGUUGUAAAGGACUUUUGUCAGGGAAGAAAAGGCUGUUGCUAAUAUCAGCAGCUGAUGGCGGUACCUGAAGAAUAAGCACCGGCUAACUACGUGC